rnacentral:rRNA from 1 species
UACGUAGGAGACGAGCGUUGUCCGGAGUUACUGGGCGUAAAGGGCGCGCAGGCGGCCGCCCGCGUGUGUGGUGAAAGCUCCUGGCUUAACUAGGAGAGGUCCAUGCAGACGGGGUGGCUUGAGCGUCGGAGAGGGGCAUGGAAUUCCGGGUGGAGCAGUGAAAUGCGUAGAGAUCCGGAGGAACACCAAUGGCGAAGGCAGUGCCCUGGCCGACGGCUGACGCUCAGGCGCGAAAGCGUGGGGAGCAAACAGG